rnacentral:lncRNA from 10 species
CCACACUGCGUUCAGUUAUUGUAUCUCCUUGGGCUCCUCUUGACUAUAUUGAUCUCCAAUCACCAUUUUAUACCUCAGACUUUCUUGCAGCACCUGGUCCCUGAGAACUAACUCCUGCAACAUAUAGGAUUGAGGAUAGCCCAAGAUAGCAGGAUGCAGUUUGGACCUAGAUCACCCACAGCUCAGCAGGCAAUGGGAAACUCAUCACUGGUGGUGCUGAAAAACAAUCAAGAUAAAAUUGACAUUUUGUUAUGAAGAUGAAGAAGCUAGAUUUAUCUUUUUCAUAUGUAAGAAGUACCUUUCGCCUCCCGCCGUGAUUCUG